rnacentral:rRNA from 1 species
AUUGAACGCUGGCGGCAUGCUUUACACAUGCAAGUCGAACGGUAACAGGCCGCUCGGUGCUGCCGCGUGGCGCACGGGUGUGUAAUGCAUCUGAACGUGUCCCGUCUUGUGGGGUAACUACUCGAAAGAGUAGCUCAUAUCCCAUACGAUCUAUGCAUGAGAGCGGGGGACCGUACGGCCUCGCGCGCUUCGAGCUGCCGAUGUCAGAUUAGGUAGUUGGUGGGGUAAAGGCUCACCAAGCCAACGAUCUGUAGCUGGUCUGAGAGGACAAGCAGCCACACUGGGACUGAGACACGGCCCAGACUCCUACGGGAGGCAGCAGUGGGGAAUUUUGGACAAUGGGCGCAAGCCCGAUCCAGCAAUGCCGCGUGCAGGAAGAAGGCCUUCGGGUUGUAAACUGCUUUUGUACGGAACGAAACGGCUCUGGUUAAUACCCGGGGCUAAUGACGGUACCGGAAGAAUAAGCACCGGCUAACUACGUG